GACGAACGCUGGCGGCGUGCCUAAUACAUGCAAGUCGAACGCAGUGGGGACGGGUGAGUAACACGUGGGUAACCUCCCAUCAGAGGGGAUAACACUUGGCAACAGGUGCUAAACCGAUACUGAUGGAUGGACCCGCGGUGCUUUAGCUAGUUGGUGGGGUAACGGCUUACCAAGGCCACGAUGCAUAACCGACCGGAGAGGGUGAUCGGCCACACUGGGACUGAGACACGGCCCAGACUCCUACGGGAGGCAGCAGUAGGGAAUAUUCGGCAAUGGACGAAAGCCUGACCGAGCCACGCCGCGUGAGUGAAGAAGGUUUUCGGAUCGUAAAGCUCUGUUGUUAGGGAAGCGUUAUCUAACCAGAAAGCAACGGCUAACUCCGUGCCAGCAGCCGCGGUAAUUC
rnacentral:rRNA from 1 species